AUUGAACGCUGGCGGAAUGCUUUACACAUGCAAGUCGAACGGCAGCACGGACUUCGGUCCGGUGGCGAGUGGCGAACGGGUGAGUAAUGUAUCGGAACGUGCCCAGUCGUGGGGGAUAACGUAGCGAAAGUUACGCUAAUACCGCAUACGAUCUAAGGAUGAAAGCGGGGGAUCGAAAGACCUCGCGCGAUUGGAGCGGCCGAUAUCAGAUUAGGUAGUUGGUGGGGUAAAGGCUCACCAAGCCAACGAUCUGUAGCUGGUCUGAGAGGACGACCAGCCACACUGUAACUGAGACACAGUCCAGACUCCUACGGGAGGCAGCAGUGGGGAAUUUUGGACAAUGGACGCAAGGCUGGUCCAGCCAUUCCGCGUGCAGGAUGAAGGCCCUCGGGUUGUAAACUGCUUUUGUACGGAACGAAAAGGUCUCUCUUAAUACGGGGGGCUCAUGACGGUACCGUAAGAAUAAGCACCGGCUAACUACGUGCCAGCCGCCGCUGUAA
rnacentral:rRNA from 1 species